rnacentral:tRNA from 1 species
GGGAUUGUAGCUCAGUGGUAGAGCACUUGCCUUGCAUGCACAAGGCCCUGGGUUUGAUCCUCAGCACCG